GUUCGCCACUUCAUUCGAAAAACACUUGUCUUCUCUUCCCAUGACUGUCAUCUCAACGGAGCGGCGUGAACUCCACAAAUCAAACUCUGGGAUGGGAGUAUAUAAAGAGGAAAGCUGAAGUGGAGCGAGUGCAGAAGCACCACUGAGCCGUUUUCUGACACUCAGAGCAAAAGACACAUUCCAGAGGACGAGACAACAGCGGGGAGGGGGUCCGGGCUUUUUUCCACUGUAAAUGUCACCAUGGACCACAAAAAAAGCAAAGCGCUCAGAAAUGAGCUCGGAUCAGCUACGAGCUGCGGUGGGGCUCGCGGAGGCUGGGGGGUGUUUCUCGGAGAUGUGUCUGCUGGAGGAGAUGGGCACGGUUCAGCUGAGGUCACCGAAAACAGGGCGGCAGGAAUGUUGUGGUACGUACUGAGACGAGAGGUGGCCUUUCAGAGCUUACGGUUUACAUUGAAACACAACCCCACCGCACAUUGUGAGAGCUGCCGGCUAUACACUGCAUGUCAUAUGACCCAGAUUAAAAUAUUCAUUCAUAAUUCAUUUUAACCAUCACGAUAAACAAUCCCAUAUAAAUAAGUCAACGUUUGUUUUUUUUCCCCUUUUGGAAUGAUUUACCUUCAUGUCAUUCCGAACUCUGUUUAUUUUUUAUUGAAUGCUUAUUUUAGCGCGGCCAUUUUUCUCACAGUUCUCAUCUUAUAGCUCAAUAUUUUCUUAAAUGUAUAACUAUGAGAUUAAACUUGAUUCUGAGAUAAAACAAUUCUGUGAAAAACUGCAAGUUUAUUACAACAACUGAUAUAAAAACGUCAGAAUUGUAUGUAAAAAAAGUUUUCAUCAUACAAUUCUUUUUUUAAACAAAAUAAUUACAUACAUGUAGAUAUUAUUUAAUGUAAUUAAUCACACAUUGAAUGAUAAAUUCCUCCCAAAAGAUAAUUUAAUAACAGUUUGAUCCAUUUUAUUACAUAUACUCUUUUGGACCACGAGGAGUGAAUUGUCAUUUUUGGGUGUGUGAAGUUAAAUAUUUAUUUGGUUAAUUUUAUUAUUAUUAAUAUGGAUAUAUAAAAUUAUUUAUUAAAUGAAAUGAUACUGUAAAUCAUAAACUAAAACUGCCAGUUAUUAGACACUGAGUCAUCUAUUCAUUCACUUGAAUGGCUGAUUCAUUCAGGAGUGAAGUAAAUGGUUCUUUAUGAAUGGUUCACUGAAUCAUUAGGCUUGUUUCACUAGAAUGUUAAAAGCGCUAAUAAUUUUAAUGCUUUAUUUUUUAUUAAUGUUAAAUUCUCAGCUAUUAUCCCAUGUUUGCUUUUGGUAACAAUAUUGCUUAAUACGUUAAAUAGAGCUUUUUAGCACCAUUCACAAGACAUUUCAUUUCUAAACUCCCACGAUCCUUACAAUAAACAACCAAAUAAAACAUCAUCGGAUUCCCACCGGCUGACACUGAAAGUGCUUUUAGCGCCAAUCGUUGGACAUUUCACUUUGAACAGAUUUCACAUUCUUCCUUUUUGUGUGCUGGGUUGAAGAAGUCAAAGAUUUGGAAAAAAACACGAAAGUGAGUAUGAUGACAUAAUUUUGGGGUGAACUAUCCCUUUAAGAGGCUCUUUUUGAACCAGUGUGCUGUCCAUUGCAGGAUGAAGGACAAGAGGACGGCAUACGGGAGGAGAAACGGUCCAGCCUACGGUGGAAGGCUAAUCCCAAGAGAGUGGAGCAGAGCACAUGCACAUCCAAUCAACACACAAUGCGACAAGGCCUGAGGUUUCCAGGUAUAGACAGGGAGUUUCUAAAGACCGGUUUACCAGGUCCAGGGAUUAUCCUUCUGGGGUUACCCAACCCCUCAGUAACGUGACCUCCUCUAGCCCCGUGGUAUUGUGGUCUACUCUGCCCAGAGCAUUAUGAUUAACCAUCUCGGCUUAGUCCAUCUGUACGGCCAGCUUCAGCAAACCUGACAUCUGUCUAAGCAAAACAAGAGCACUUCCUGCACGGGAAAUAUGAGAAAGACAUUCUCACUUAUUUGAGUUUCAACAGCGAACACCUCUCUGUGACGAAUGAUACUUUAGACAUCUCGAGACCCAAUCGACGAAUAUGAUUUUUCCGUCCUUUCACUCCCACGAAUCAAAUAUUAAGAAAGCGCCUGCCCCAAGGUCAAAUCCCUCUCUCCAGAGCUCCUCAAUAGGAACAAACCACCAGGAUCAAGUUCAGCUCCUGACAAGAAGUCCCCGGCUCUGUCAAGUGUUAAGUUCCAUUGUGACCUACAAUAGCACACAAUGGCCCUCGUUGCACCCGGGCUGUCCCUGCUGCCUGAUAAAUUAACACGGGAGCAUCUGCAUCUGAGCAGCUCAUCAGAUCACUGAGAUGUUUGACCAAAGAGCUGUCCCAGUUCUGUAAAGAACAGCAUUUUUACUAAUUAAUCAGAGGUGAUUACUAGAACGCUCUUCACAAAAAGUUCAAUUGCAUAUUGCAUAACUGCAAGUUUAGAUAUUAUGCAAUCCAACCCCAUAAAUCAUUACUUAUGGGUUGUCAAAUGAAUGCGAAAUUAGAGGGGUAGUUCACUCAAAAAUGACAAUUCUGUCAUCAUUUACUGGCCCUCAAGUUGUCUCAAACCUGUAUGACAUUUAUAGUUCUGUUGAACAUCAAAGAAGGUAUGCUGAAGAAUGUUGGUAAGCAAACAGUUGAUGGAGGUCACUGACUUCAAUAGUAAAAAAAAUACUGUGGAAGUCAAUGGCUACUGUUGACUGUUUCAGUAAAGGGAGUCAAAUAUGUAAAAAAAAUAUAUAUAAUUUUUCAGUGUGUAAUGUGCUGCUAUUAAUGUGUGAACAUUAGAAACAGAAUGACAAAACUGACUGUACAAUGAACUAAUUAAUCACUCAUUGAAGAAAAACGUAACUUUUUUGAAAAUAGGUUCAUUUUCCAACUGCGCUGUUCCUGCACUGACGGCAACCAUGAUUUUUACGCCGGAAUGAGAAUAUAGUUCCUACCCACAUUGGCUUGGAAAUAUUUAACUUUUUAUUUUCUGUCGGUCUAAGUAAACAAUGUGAAUACAGAUGAGUCAAGGUUUAAAUAGGCAAAUGAUCUAAACUCUUUGGUUAUUUUUGAGCGAGAUGCACGUCAGUAAUGUAUGCUAAGCUAAGCAUCCCACCACCGCCAAAACCGGAGAUCGGCUGAAUGGAUAAAAAAAUAGUAAAACUAUUUAACUCUAGUGAAUAUGGCAAAUGAGCCUAUUGUUUUUUGUUUU